rnacentral:rRNA from 1 species
AUGCCGUUCGGGUUAACCAAUGCCCCGACAACAUUCCAGUGCUUGAUGAAUGCCAUCUUCGCCAAGUAUACGUGUAAGUUUGUCAUCAUAUUCCUUGACGACAUCCUUGUUUUCAGCGAGACCCUGGAAGAACACAUUGAGCACCUCCGACUUGUCCUCAACCUGAUACACGGGCACCAGCUUUAUGCCAAGUUGUCCAAGUGCUCGUUCGCAUAG